UGCAGACCACACUUUACUGCCUCAAGUUUCUCAGGGGCAGAAUGUGGAAUAUUGCCCUUUUCUCCAGCUGGUACACUAACUAGAGCACGUGUGCCUUUAAUGAGAAGAUUAUCUGGAAUCCUAAACUGAAAUUUUAUAAAGGGCCUAGCACAGCAGUUUGUAGCGUCUGGAAGGAAAUGAGGAGGAAAUUGAAGAGAGGAGCAGAUCAAAAAGGUCAAUCCCAAGAGAAAUAAUGAAGACGCAAAAGUUAUUUGGCCUGAGGCGACCCAACACUGGAGCCUGCAGGCAAUUUGGUGGGGCUAAUGGCAGACUCUAGGAGGGCUCACGCCAAGGAGUUCUUCUCAGAAUUUCUGCUGCCAGUGUCCUUGUCUCCGCAGUGAGCCACAGCUGCCCCCCACCUCUGCAGGAGACCCUCCAACACUAGCAGGUAGGUCUGGUUCAGUCUCCUACGGGGUCACUGCUCCUUCCCCCUGGGUCCUGAUGUGCACACGGCUUUGUGUGUGCCCUCCAAGAGUGGAGUCUCUUGUUUCCCC